UACGGGGGGGGCAAGCGUUGUUCGGAAUUACUGGGCGUAAAGGGCUCGUAGGUGGCCAACUAAGUCAGACGUGAAAUCCCUCGGCUUAACCGGGGAACUGCGUCUGAUACUGGAUGGCUUGAGUUCGGGAGAGGGAUGCGGAAUUCCAGGCGUAGCGGUGAAAUGCGUAGAUAUCUGGAGGAACACCGGUGGCGAAGGCGGCAUCCUGGACCGACACUGACGCUGAGGAGCGAAAGCCAGGGGAGCAAACGGG
rnacentral:rRNA from 1 species